AGCGAACGCUGGCGGCAGGCUUAACACAUGCAAGUCGAACGGGCGUAGCAAUACGUCAGUGGCAGACGGGUGAGUAACGCGUGGGAACGUACCUUUUGGUUCGGAACAACCCAGGGAAACUUGGGCUAAUACCGGAUAAGCCCUUACGGGGAAAGAUUUAUCGCCGAAAGAUCGGCCCGCGUCUGAUUAGCUAGUUGGUGUGGUAACGGCGCACCAAGGCGACGAUCAGUAGCUGGUCUGAGAGGAUGAUCAGCCACAUUGGGACUGAGACACGGCCCAAACUCCCACGGGAGGCAGCAGUGGGGAAUAUUGGACAAUGGGCGCAAGCCUGAUCCAGCCAUGCCGCGUGAGUGAUGAAGGCCCUAGGGUUGUAAAGCUCUUUUGUGCGGGAAGAUAAUGACGGUACCGCAAGAA
rnacentral:rRNA from 1 species